rnacentral:lncRNA from 1 species
UAAAUUUGCAUUUAGAAUGUAAAAGUUACAAAGAAAUUGAAAAGGUUCACCGAUUCAUACAUCUUUCUCGAGUAACUCAUUUCUCGCCUUAACAUGGAUACUUUGAGUGUUUGAGAUUUUGUGUAAAUGAAUUGUGACCCCUAUUUCGACUAUACAUACUUCUAUUUAUAGAAAACUAAAUAACGUCUAUCUUAACGUUAAACUCCUAAACUUCAGCCACAUGUCCUUUU